rnacentral:lncRNA from 1 species
AUUCUUGCCGCGUAUGCAUAUACUAGACCGUAACUGUACAGUGAUGUGCGUUAUAUCCUUCUCUAAUUGGAUCAUACGUACGUAGUUGACCUUUUCUUUUAUUCAUUAAUUUUGAUAUGUAUCUAGAUAUAUUAUUACAUAUAGAUGCAUAGUAAAAUAGAUAUAGAAAAAGUUAAAGUAACUUAUAAUUUGAAAUAGGAGUAGACUAGUAGUAGAUGCACUAAUUUACCGAAUUAAUUAUUGCGCCAUUAGACCAGAUUACAAGUUCAUGUAUGGAUCAACAAUAAUCUCACCCACAUUAUUAGUUGAUGUAUGGUAGAUUUAUUGCUACAUUCAAUUAUGAGUUGCAUUCCCUUCACCUAAUCACC